rnacentral:rRNA from 1 species
AACGAACGCUGGCGGCGCGUCUUAAGCAUGCAAGUCGAACGGCAAGAGAGGAGCUUGCUUCUCUCCUAGAGUGGCGGACUGGUGAGGAACACGUGGGUAAUCUACCCUUAAGAUGGGGAUAGCUGCUAGAAAUAGCAGGUAAUACCGAAUACACUCGGCAUAUCACAAGAGGUGUUGAGGAAAGGAAGCUACGGCUUCGCUUGAGGAUGAGCUUGCGUCCCAUUAGCUAGUUGGUGAGGUAAAGGCCCACCAAGGCGACGAUGGGUAUCCGGCCCGAGAGGGUGAACGGACACAUUGGGACUGAGAUACGGCCCAAACUCCUACGGGGGGCAGCAGCUAAGAAUAUUCCGCAAUGGACGGAAGUCUGACGGAGCGACGCCGCGUGGAUGAAGAAGGCUGAAAAGUUGUAAAAUCCUUUUGUUGAUGAAGAAUAAGGGUGAGAGGGAAUGCUCAUCUGAUGACGGUAAUCGACGAAUAAGCCCCGGCUAAUUACGUG